rnacentral:rRNA from 1 species
GGGUUGUGAGGUUAAGCGACUAAGCGUACACGGUGGAUGCCCUGGCAGUCAGAGGCGAUGAAGGACGUGCUAAUCUGCGAAAAGCGUCGGUAAGGUGAUAUGAACCGUUAUAGCCGGCGAUGUCCGAAUGGGGAAACCCAGUGCAAUUCGUUGCACUAUCGUUAACUGAAUACAUAGGUUAACGAGGCGAACCGGGGGAACUGAAACAUCUAAGUACCCCGAGGAAAAGAAAUCAACCGAGAUUCCCCCAGUAGCGGCGAGCGAACGGGGAGCAGCCCAGAGUCUGAAUCAGCUUGUGUGUUAGUGGAACGGUCUGGAAAGUCCGACGGUACAGGGUGAUAGUCCCGUACACCAAAAUGCACAGGUUGUGAACUCGAAGAGUAGGGCGGGACACGUGGUAUCCUGUCUGAAUAUGGGGGGACCAUCCUCCAAGGCUAAAUACUCCUGACUGACCGAUAGUGAACCAGUACCGUGAGGGAAAGGCGAAAAGAACCCCGGCGAGGGGAGUGAAAAAGAACCUGAAACCGUGUACGUACAAGCAGUGGGAGCACCUUCGGGUGUGACUGCGUACCUUUUGUAUAAUGGGUCAGCGACUUAUAUUCUGUAGCAAGGUUAACCGUAUAGGGGAGCCGCAGGGAAACCGAGUCUUAACUGGGCGUUAAGUUGCAGGGUAUAGACCCGAAACCCGGUGAUCUAGCCAUGGGCAGGUUGAAGGUUGGGUAACACUAACUGGAGGACCGAACCGACUAAUGUUGAAAAAUUAGCGGAUGACUUGUGGCUGGGGGUGAAAGGCCAAUCAAACCGGGAGAUAGCUGGUUCUCCCCGAAAGCUAUUUAGGUAGCGCCUCGUGAACUCAUCUUCGGGGGUAGAGCACUGUUUCGGCUAGGGGGUCAUCCCGACUUACCAACCCGAUGCAAACUACGAAUACCGAAGAAUGUUAUCACGGGAGACACACGGCGGGUGCUAACGUCCGUCGUGAAGAGGGAAACAACCCAGACCGCCAGCUAAGGUCCCAAAGUCAUGGUUAAGUGGGAAACGAUGUGGGAAGGCACAGACAGCCAGGAUGUUGGCUUAGAAGCAGCCAUCAUUUAAAGAAAGCGUAAUAGCUCACUGGUCGAGUCGGCCUGCGCGGAAGAUGUAACGGGGCUAAACCAUGCACCGAAGCUGCGGCAGCGACACUAUGUGUUGUUGGGUAGGGGAGCGUUCUGUAAGCCUGCGAAGGUGACCUGUGAGGGUUGCUGGAGGUAUCAGAAGUGCGAAUGCUGACAUAAGUAACGAUAAAGCGGGUGAAAAGCCCGCUCGCCGGAAGACCAAGGGUUCCUGUCCAACGUUAAUCGGGGCAGGGUGAGUCGACCCCUAAGGCGAGGCCGAAAGGCGUAGUCGAUGGGAAACAGGUUAAUAUUCCUGUACUUGGUGUUACUGCGAAGGGGGGACGGAGAAGGCUAUGUUAGCCGGGCGACGGUUGUCCCGGUUUAAGCAUGUAGGCUG